UACAGAGGUCUCAAGCGUUGUUCGGAUUCAUUGGGCGUAAAGGGUGCGUAGGUGGCGCUGUAAGUCGGGUGUGAAAUUUCGGAGCUUAACUCCGAAACUGCAUUCGAUACUGCCGUGCUUGAGGACUGGAGAGGAGACUGGAAUUUACGGUGUAGCGGUGAAAUGCGCAGAUAUCAGGAAGAACACCCGUGGCGAAAAGCGGCUCUCUGGAACGGGUACU
rnacentral:rRNA from 1 species